UCCCACUGUCUCUGGGAAGAGGGAGGGAGGACAGGAAAGGGAAAUGGCUCACCUCAAACCCUGAGUUCUCAUGGACUGUUGGUUCAGAUGUCCAGAACUCAUGGUUAACUUCCAACUCUUCGACCCCAGGGCAGCCCCCGCCCCCCUGCCCCCGAGGACCAGCUGGCCGGUCGCGCCCUCUCCUGGCACCACCGAGAAGCGACGCGCCUGGCUGGCUAGAGGGGCCAGCCAGCCCCAACCAGCGGACAUCCCAGCCGACAUCCCAUGCUUCCUAUCCAUCUGGCCUGCUACAGGGUCUCAACCUCAGGAGCAUGGCUUGAGCCAGCGACGCUUCGUUCUUAAAGUGUUAGGAGUCCCACAAGAAGACCAAACUACACAACAGUAAUAUAUAUAUAUAUGCAGAGGACCUAGGUCGGUCUCAAGCAUGCUCCCUGCUUGGUGGCUCAGUGUCUGUGAGCCCAGAAAGCAGACAAUUGAAAAAGAUUCUAAACUACGUUGUGGGAUUGAAGCGCAAAUGGAUAAUGUGCCCAGAGAAGAGGACUGAGUGGCAGAGCAUCUCGUAGUCGUCGCUGAAGAUUAUGAGGUCAUAGAAAUCACUAUGAGGUCACACCGAGAGAUAACUACUUACAGCCAAGAGUCUUCGCAAACUAAAUUAACCAGGAAGAAGGGCCAAGUCAACUCCGUGGCAAAGGUCAACAAAAGAGGGAGAUCUGAUAAAGAUUACAGUGCGGAGAGAAAAUAUUUCUGUAGACCUUUCUUUUAAAAAAAUUAUUUCCUACUUAUUUCCUUACUGGAAAAUAAAGAUUUAGCUUUGUUUCCUUGCCAUCAAUCUAGAUACACGCCACAUGUCCUAUUGCCUCUGUUUCUUCAUACAGUCCCUUACUGAAAACAUAUUCUGGGAUCCUCAGUACCAUUACUGUGUAUGAAAGCCACAACAUGCACGUGAGUGAUCGAGCGCCACAACACCUGUGUGACUGAUGUGAUGUCCAGCCAUGUGUCAGCUGAGUUUACCCAUGCUAAAGGACAGAGGGAUGCGAACAAUCACAGGCCUCGUGGACAAGCUGUGAGGGGCAAAUGAACCAGCGUUGCUUCCAAAAGAACUCUAACCUGCGAUAGCACAGCCCAGACGCAGACUAUUGUAAAGUAACUCUUCCUAACAGGGAGAAAGAGGAAACAGAUGAAGAUGAAAAUUAGAAUCAUCUACAUUUAGUAUAUCUGGACUCAGUGUUUUGGUUUGUUUGGGUUUUUUUUGUUUUUGUUUUUUUUUGUUUUUGUGUGUGUGUUUUGUUUUGUUUUGUUUUCUGAGACAGGGUUUCUCUGUGUAGUCCUGGCUGUCCUGGAACUCACUCUCUAGACAAAGCUGGCCUCAAAUUCAGACAUCCACCUGCCUCUGCCUCCUGAGUGCUGGCAUUAGCGGCCGGAGUAGCUAAUCGGAAGACGCAGCCGACCACCUGGCGUCACUGGAGGAGGUGUUUAUAACUCUAGCUCCUCCCGGUGCCCCUCGGAGUAAAGAGCCCUGACCCAAGAGAUUCCCUUCCAGGAUGGUCUGCCAUGACUAGCACAGCUCCAGUGAUGGACCUGCCUAGACUGACGAGGUGGCUAAGAAAGGAGCUGCACACAAAGAAGAAUGGGGACUGGCUGGCCUGGGCCCUCUGAUGGAGAACCCUCUGUAUCGAGAACCACAGCGUAUUUAUUAUAUACAGCUGAACAGGGGGCUUGGGUUAGCGCAUACGGCUGAAAAUGGAGGCAUUUCUAGCAGCUCUGGGCGGGGACAGUCUCUGUAGCGGAGCAGUCUUUGGGCCAUAAACAUCCAGGGAGAGGAAGCUACAAUGGGGAUGUUCCGUGUGUACUAUCGACAUCUGUACACGGACCAAAGGAAAGCUUUGCUGUUCCUCCAAGCCUCAUCAAGUGUGUGUGUGUGUGUG
rnacentral:lncRNA from 1 species